rnacentral:rRNA from 1 species
AUCGAACGCUGGCGGCAGGCCUAACACAUGCAAGUCGAGCGGAUGAAGGGUGCUUGCUCCUGGAUUCAGCGGCGGACGGGUGAGUAAUGCCUAGGAAUCUGCCUGGUAGUGGGGGAUAACGUCCUGAAACGGGCGCUAAUACCGCAUACGUCCUGAGGGAGAAAGUGGGGGAUCUUCGUACCUCACGCUAUCAGAUGAGCCUAGGUCGGAUUAGCUAGUUGGUGGGGUAAAGGCCUACCAAGGCGACGAUCCGUAACUGGUCUGAGAGGAUGAUCAGUCACACUGGAAGUGAGACACGGUCCAGACUCCUACGGGAGGCAGCAGUGGGGAAUAUUGGACGAUGGGCGAAAGCCUGAUCCAGCCAUGCCGCGUGUGUGAAGAAGGUCUUCGGAUUGUAAAGCAAUUUAAGUUGGGAGGAAGGGCAGUAAGUUAAUACCUUGCUGUUUUGACGUUACCAACAGAAUAAGCACCGGCUAACUUCGUG